GGUCCCAAAGUCAUGGUUAAGUGGGAAACGAUGUGGGAAGGCCCAGACAGCCAGGAUGUUGGCUUAGAAGCAGCCAUCAUUUAAAGAAAGCGUAAUAGCUCACUGGUCGAGUCGGCCUGCGCGGAAGAUGUAACGGGGCUAAACCAUGCACCGAAGCUGCGGCAGCGACGCUGAUGCGUUGUUGGGUAGGGGAGCGUUCUGUAAGCCUGCGAAGGUGGCCUGUGAGGGUUGCUGGAGGUAUCAGAAGUGCGAAUGCUGACAUAAGUAACGAUAAAGCGGGUGAAAAGCCCGCUCGCCGGAAGACCAAGGGUUCCUGUCCAACGUUAAUCGGGGCAGGGUGAGUCGACCCCUAAGGCGAGGCCGAAAGGCGUAGUCGAUGGGAAACGGGUUAAUAUUCCCGUACUUGGUGUUACUGCGAAGGGGGGACGGAGAAGGCUAUGUUGGCCGGGCGACGGUU
rnacentral:rRNA from 1 species